rnacentral:rRNA from 1 species
GACGAACGCUGGCGGCGUGCUUAACACAUGCAAGUCGAGCGGUAAGGCCCUUUCGGGGGUACGACGAGCGGCGAACGGGUGAGUAACACGUGGGUGACCUGCCCUCAGCUCUGGGAUAAGCCUGGGAAACCGGGUCUAAUACUGGAUAUGACUCCAUGACGCAUGUUGUGGGGUGGAAAGCCUUGUGCGGCUGAGGAUGGGCCCGCGGCCUAUCAGCUUGUUGGUGGGGUGANGGCCUACCAAGGCGACGACGGGUAGCCGGCCUGAGAGGGCGACCGGCCACACUGGGACUGAGACACGGCCCAGACUCCUACGGGAGGCAGCAGUGGGGAAGUCUUGCGCAAUGGGCGAAAGCCUGACGCAGCGACGCCGCGUGAGGGAUGA